GACGAACGCUGGCGGCGUGCCUAAUACAUGCAAGUAGGACGCAGUUGCGAACGGGUGAGUAACGCGUAGGUAACUACCUAUUAGAGGGGGAUAACUAUUGGAAACGAUAGCUAAUACCGCAUACUAGUAGAUGGACCUGCGUUGUAUUAGCUAGUAGGUAGGGUAAUGGCCUACCUAGGCAACGAGACAUAGCCGACCCGAGAGGGGUAUCCGCCACACUGGAAUUGGGACAGGGCCCGGACUCCAAGGGAGGCAGCAGGUGGGAAUCGUCGGACAAGGGGGGAACCCUGACCGCGCAACGCCGCGUGAGUGAAGAAGGUUUUCGGAUCGUAAAGCUCUGUUGUUAAGGAAGCGGUACUUAACCAGAAAGGGACGGCUAACUACGUGCCAGCAGCCGCGGUAAUUC
rnacentral:rRNA from 1 species